rnacentral:piRNA from 3 species
UCCGCAGCAGGUCUCCAAGGUGAACAGCCUCUGG